GACGAACGCUGGCGGCGUGCUUAACACAUGCAAGUCGAACGGAAAGACCCUGCUUUUGUGGGGUGCUCGAGUGGCGAACGGGUGAGUAACACGUGAGUAACCUGCCCUUGACUUUGGGAUAACUUCAGGAAACUGGGGCUAAUACCGGAUAGGAGCUCCUGCUGCAUGGUGGGGGUUGGAAAGUUUCGGCGGUUGGGGAUGGACUCGCGGCUUAUCAGCUUGUUGGUGGGGUAGUGGCUUACCAAGGCUUUGACGGGUAGCCGGCCUGAGAGGGUGACCGGCCACAUUGGGACUGCGAGACGGCCCAGACUCCUACGGGAGGCAGCAGUGGGGAAUAUUGCACAAUGGGCGGAAGCCUGAUGCAGCAACGCCGCGUGCGGGAUGACGGCCUUCGGGUUGUAAACCGCUUUCGCCUGUGACGAAGCGUGAGUGACGGUAAUGGGUAAAGAAGCACCGGCUAACUACGUG
rnacentral:rRNA from 1 species